rnacentral:lncRNA from 1 species
UCUUUGUCUCUGCAAAGGAUGUUUCAUAAAAUGUUGCUUUUGGGUAUCUUUUGAUGCUUCGGUACUCCGAGGAUAUAGCAAUUUAACCAUUUAUAAAAAUGUUCAAGAUACAACUAUAUCUUGUACUUGGAAGUGCUUAAAUCAAUUUAUUACAAUUCAUACAGUAUUACACCAAAAAUAAUUCUAUAAAACUGAGAGUUACUGACAAUUUUCCGUACGAAACUAUAUUUUUUAUCUAUGAAAGUAUAAUCCAAAUUCAAAUAAAAAACAUUUAAUAAUUAAGGUGGUAUUGUUAUAAAGCUUGAAAAAAAAAUUGGUCUAUUUAAAAGUAAAACAAUAUUUUAAAAUAAUUUUUGUUUGCAAUGCAAAAAUCAAUAUAAAUCUUGUGACGCGCGGUGUUCAACUUUAGUCAGCGCCAGGCGCUUACCGAGGAGGGACGUAUCGCUCGCUGUUGCGCCGCGUAAACUCGCCGGAGUUCGAAAAAUAUAGCGCAACCUACGCAUCUAACACGUUUUGAUACUAGAUAAUGAAAGCAUAUUUAAUUCAGACUAUCAGACUCAAUUGAAUACCAGUACAAAUAAUAUGGAAAAUGAAGAUACAAUACAUGGAAGACGAAUUAUAGAUUUUAGUUUUUUUAUAAAUCAAUUACUUAUAAUUGAUAAACAUGGUGAAAAGUUUGGUUGUCGAUUAAAUAAUUUAAAAAUUGUAAACGAUUACUUGUUUAUUGUAACUCAAUCGAGCUAUUCUAGGUUAUAAAAUUCAUCGGUACAAAUAAUAUUUCAUAAACUAUAAAAACAAUAAAUUAUUUCGGAAAAAAGUGGCAAAGUCUCAAGUUUGUUUGUGCCGCGUGGCGGUCCGCAGGUGUGCGUUGCGUAUUUCACUAGACGCACACAUGCGCAAGUGCUGCCGGCUAUCGUCUAAUUUACCUACAACUGAGCAAUUCGAUUUUGUAAUAGCGCUCUUAAACAUUUGGUCU